UCCGGCCACAUCACGUUGAAACACUGAUUCCCUUAUGAUCACCGAAGUUAAGCAACGUUUAGCCCGGCCAGACCUAGAUGGGUGACCGCUUCGGAAUAACAGGUGCU